rnacentral:rRNA from 1 species
UACGUAGGGGGGCAACGUUGUCCGGAAUCAUUGGGCGUAAAGCGCGUGUAGGCGGCUCGAUAAGUCUGCUGUGAAAGUCCAGGGCUCAACCCUGGGAUGCCGGUGGAUACUGUCGAGCUCGAGUCCGGAAGAGGCGAGUGGAAUUCCUGGUGUAGCGGUGAAAUGCGCAGAUAUCAGGAGGAACACCAAUGGCGAAGGCAGCUCUCUGGGACGGUACUGACGCUGAGACGCGAAAGCGUGGGGAGCGAACAGG